CGAGGAUCGCGACGGAUGAGGAAGCAGCGGCACGAGCGGCAGGAUUGUUUCUCCGACUACCCACCAGCGACACAAAGAGUUUAUAAUCAUCCAUUGGAUAUAUACACAGAAUCAGUGUCAUAUUGUUAUUUCCCAAAACUAAAAUAAUAUACAUAGUUAUAUUAUUAU